rnacentral:tRNA from 1 species
ACACUUGUGCCCGUGUUUUUCUAGCACUGUCAUAAGAAUACUUUUACCUAUCAAGGCAACUGGGGGUUAGGAGAGCUUUUUGCACAGGAGGCUACUUGGCUUUGUUUGAAAACUGAUGAUACAUGAGGAUUGGGGUGGUGAAUCACUCACAUGUUUCUUCAUAUGAAAAAUGAGGACUGUGGGAUUCUCUGGCUGGAUCUCAGCACCUAGAAAUGGAUCUGGGCAAUAGGAACUGCUCAGUAUUAGCUACCGCUUUGGUUGCCUUCUCCUUGCGGAAAGCUGGCCUCUCACACUGAAUUUGUAUCAUAGGCACUCAUGAGGGUCUUGACUGUAUCAAUAUCUGAUGAGAGAUUUUAGUGCAGUUCUGUUAUCGUGGCUGAUUUGCUCAUUUGGUAGCUAGCAUCCAGCUUCUUGUGAACAUUAAAAUAAAAUAAAAUAGAUUAUGGAGGAAUAGAAUACAGAUACGUAGUAAGGUAUUAUUUUCCAGACAAAAUGGAUUUGGAUAAAAGAAUCUAAUUAAGAACUUGUGCAUGAUUCUUUUAAAAUUCUUUUGAAUCCAUUUUUUUUUUUUUGGCCUGUUUUCAAGUCUCCGAUUUUUGUCACCCUUCUCACACCAGGUCAGAGAGAUAGCUAAUGGUCAGAAGGAAUCUUCCAGCAAUGACCAUAGCGCUUUCUCCUGCCUGCAGAUGCCUCUUUUUAUUCAGCCUUUAUGGGAAGUAGCAGCACCAUCCAGUUCUCAGAGAGCAAGCUCUGGAGUAACUGAGCUAACCCCAGUUACCCCAGUGGAUUUACAGAUUGAGGUUACAACCCAGCAGGGUUCUCUUCCUGGAAAGAAUAGCCUUCCCUCUAAGGUUUCAAAUAGACCCUGGGUGAGGAAGGAGCCCUAAACAGCUUGAAAAAUUGAAUGCUCUUUGGGCAAAGCAGGAAGCCGUCCUAUGGAAGAGCAUCAUUUGAGCAUAAAUCAGGUUAUCAGGACAAACAGAGUGUUCAGGAGGUCAAGAUGGUUAAGCAGAGACCCUGACCAGAAUGUCCGUGGCGGAGAGAAACAAUCUUGUUGGGAAAAGGAUGACAAUAAUUGGGGACUUAGAAUAAAGGCUAAAAAUGAUUCAAAGAGAAUGCAAAAAGAAUCAGGCACAAAUCGUUUACUAUACUCUGUUAUGCAAAUCUCACCUUACUAUGUGUUUGUAUUCUAUUCCUCCACAAUCUUUAUUUUAUUUUAAUGUUCAAAGAGACUUGUAGGUGCCAAUUAAAUGAACAAAACAGCCAGAGACAACAGAACUGCCCUAAAAAAAGUCCCGCAUCAGCUCUUGAGAGCAGGUUCCUUAAAGGUGAACAAUAUUCCACAUACAAGGACUUUUUCAGCACCAUGCAUUAGAAAUGGAAGUGAAUGUUUAUUAUUUUUUGUAUAAGUUGGUUGAUAUGGCUUUUCAGCUUCCCUCAGUAUCAUUAUCCAAAUUUUGUAGAUGACACUAAAGCUCAGAGGAGUUAAACCAUUUUCCUUAAAUCACAUAGCUUUAAAUAGGAAAACCAGAUAUGAAAAGCAGAUUUUUUUUCUAAAUUAAAAAACCAAAAACAAAAACACGUGAGCUCUUGCUUUACCCUAGCACAUAGUCUUGCCAUCUGUUUUCUCCACACCAGGUGAUUCCUGUAACAUUCAUUCACAUAACAAAUACAAAUAAAUGAGUGGAUUCAUUCAUCAGAUAUUAAUUCAGAAUCCCUUUUGUGCCUUCCAGAAAUCUGGACCAUCUCACAACCCCCAGAGAGUCUCAGCUACAAGGAACAAGUGAUAAUGCCAUCCCACUUUUAUAAACACACACACACACACAUGCAAUACACACACAAUCAUUUAAUCAUUUUUAAUUAUUUAAUUAUUUUUUAAAAAUCAGUGACACUUUAGCUGGGCAGGUCUAGAUAGGUCUUCUUUGCUGGGACGUGUCUUUUUCUGUCCUGGAAUACCCUAAACUUCACAUUUUGGCAGCGUGAGUUUUCCCUUUGUGACUUUCUCCUUCUUCCCUUUUUUCCUCCUUCUUUGCAGAGAAUGAGUAGCCACUGCACCUUGCCCUGCGCCAUCAAUGAGAAGAUCUGCUCUUAGUAGAGCCCUGCUUUCCCGCUGAAGGCCCUGAAAUCACCUGUGUUCCAGGCCACCCACUAAGGAUAAACAAAGCUUCCCUGAUAUGGGGAAUUAGCUCAAGUGGUAGAGCGCUUGCUUAGCAUGCAAGAGGUAGUGGGAUCAAUGCCCACAUUCUCCAAGCUUUAUUAUUUAGGUACCCAAACCCGAGUCAGUGUCUGAGAGCAAGACACUGCUCUCGGUGUCUUUGGUUCAAGACAUAGGAGCAGCAACAAUACAGGACUGGUGACAGCUUCCUGCUGGCAUUCAGUAUAGUGUAGAUCUACUGUGUAAUUAAUUUUCUGUUUCUUCGAGGAGCUGUGAAACCAAAGGACAUAUAAAACUGCUCUUUUCUCCCUGUUUCUGCCUGCAGCUUGGUCCUAAAUGUGAGACAAUUGUGAAAAGUGGAGGACAGAGCCACCUGGUUAAAUACAGCCCCAGCUUUCUGGUGAGAGGACUGAAACCAAGAUGUGUCAAGUAACUAGAAUGUGCCUGGACAGAUACUGUAGAAAGCAAAACCAUAAAGUUGUUCAUGAGCUUGUGGACGCACCUGCCAGCUGUGAAUAAGUGGCUCUAAUCCCGAACAACUUACCUAAAAAGAGCCUGAGAGCUGAACUGUGCAAUGGCCCACUUUCCAGUCCUCACUGACCACUGGGUUGCACACACUUUGGAGAUCUCUGAACAGCAGUGUCAAGGCUUUCAAAUAGAGUUAUCUUUGAAACGACAACACAUGAAAGUCUGGUUGGUACUUGGAGCUUAAAUACAAGGCAAUUGUGUGCCUGCAAAAACAAAAAUAGCAAUAUUAUCCUUAAGAUUUCAACAAGACACAGUGUCUCAUCACAUAAUCCAAAGAAGUCCAGGUUACAAGCCCCACAAUAUUCAGCAUUAUGAAAAAACAGGGAGAUCUUAAUUCACAUGGCAAAGAGAAUCCUCGAAUAACAAUAUUGAGAGGACACAGAUGUCAAAAUCAUCUGACACAUACAUUAAAGCAGAUAUUAUAACAAUGCUCCUAGAAUCGGGGAUAACAUUCGUGAAGUGAAUGGAAAGUUGGAAAGUCUCACCAAAUAUUUCGAAUACAUAAACACCAAUUUAAACUUAAGAAUUAAAAAAAUGUAUUAACCAAAACUCUUAGGGGAAAUAAAAAGCUUAAUUGGAGGAUCUCCAUAAUCGAAUGCAGAAGACUAAGGAAAAAGUCAAUGAACUUGAAAACAGAACACGAAUACCUACAUAAUCUGAACUAUAGAGAGAAAGGAGGAUUUUAUUGUCUCUGAACAGAGGCUCAGGCACAAAUAAAAAAUAACAAAUCCAACAUUCACAUUAUUGUAAUCUGGAAAGAAGAGGACAAAGUGGUCUUUGUGGGAUAAAACUUUGAACAAUUAAUAGCUGAAAAUGGUUCAAAUUUGUCAAAAGAUAUAAACCAGAUUUUUAAAGUUCAGUAAAUGUCAAUCAGGAUAAACCCAAAGAAACCCAUAGCAAGGCAUAUCAUAAUCAAACUGCUGAAAACUAAGAAAAUACAAAACAAUUUUGAAAGCAGCCAAAGGGAAAUGAAAGAGAAACUACCAAAUGAAUGAUUGUAGAUUUCGCAUCAGGAACCAUAGGGGCCAGAAAAAAUGUCAUAACAUUCGGUAAGUAACAAAAGAAAAAGACAUAUCGACCCAGAAUGCUAUGUGGAGCAAAAGUAUCUUCCAGACAUAAAGGCAAAUAAAUGCAUUCUCAGUGGAAGGUAAGUAAAUACAUUCUCAUUCUUAGGAAGACUGCUGGAAAAGAAUUAGCAAAGAUUUGAGAUAAGAAAAAUGAUACCAGAAGGAAACUUAGAACAUCAUCAGUGAAGGAACAAAAGCAGAAAUAGAACAUGUCUGGGUAGACAUAACAGACUAUUAUUCUUCCCUUGAGUUCCUUAAGGUAUGUUUGAUGAUUGAAAGCAAAAAUUGUAACUUUAUCAGAAGCAGUUGUCAUUGUAUCUAGAUGUACUACAUACAGAAGAUAAAAGGGUAAGUGUAAUGGGACUAACUCUUGAUGAAGUUUCUUUAUUCAACUUGAAUGGUAAAAUAUUGAUUCUAAGUAUACUGUGAAAGGUUAUAUAUGUAUAUGGUAAACCCUAGACCACCUACUAACAAGAUUUAAAUAAACCAAAACAAGAUAGAAAGAGGAACAUAGAUGAAUUAAAACAAAGGGAAACAAGGUUAAUACAUUAUUAAAUAAUAGACCUAUCUAAAAACUUAUCUAUAAUGACAUUACAUGUAAAUAAUCUAAACGCAUUAAUUAAAAACUAGAGAUCAUCAGAAUGUGUUAAAAAUAAAUAUGCUGACUAAAGAAAGCCACCUGCUAUACACUUAUAUAUAAGAAUAAAAGUUAUAGAGCAGAUUGAAAGAAAAGAGUGGGAAAAGAUACCUCAUGCAAGCACUAAUCAAAGACAGCUGUGAUGUAUAUAUAAAAAAAUCAGACAAAGUACAUUUGAAAGCAGAGAAACUUUUCAGGAAUAAUGAGGCCUGCUAAAUAAUUAUGAUUGUCAAUUUUCCAGGGGAAUAUUGUCCCAAGUGUAUAUGAGAACAUAGAGCUUCAAAACUCAUAAACAAAAUUGGAUACGCAAGGUAAAAACAGAAAAAUCCAAUUAGAGUUGCCGACACUAACACUCCUCUCUCGGUAAUUGGUAGACUUAGUAGAAAACAAAUCAGCAAACAUAUUGGAGAAUUAAACCAUACCAUCCAGUAAUGGACCUAUUAACUUCAUAAUGCAAAAUAAAAAUUUAGGUAGAAGGCAAAGACAAAAGUUAAAAGAAAAGUAAAGAUCAUGUUAUAACCAGGAAAUUAAGAGUAGUCCAGCAUAUAGAAGAGUGCUAUUAUUGGAAGAGUUAUUUAGUUAUUUUGAGACAUUUUUUGAAAGAGUUAUUUAGCUGGAAAUGACAGAAAGACUGAAAAUGGUGAAUCUGGAGGUGGAUCUCCCCUUGUCCAUAUUUAUUUUGUCUUUUUUUGAGGUCUAGGGUGUCUAUACUUCCUCUGAAUUACCUACAGUGUCUGGCACAGAGCAUCUCCCCAGUGAAUAUGUAUUAAAUGAGUAGAAAGUAAUUUAUAGAUUCAAAAGAACUGGGCAAGAAUAAUGUUCAUUAUUUGACAAAUCCUUGAAUGUAGUGUUUGAAGGAAGACAAUAAGUCAAAGUUGACUUGAAAGGUAAGCCCAAGUCCAGACUCUUUUCUGUAAUCCCAGCACUUUGAGAGGCCGAGAUGGGCAGAUCCCGUGACACCAGGAGUUUGAGACCAGCCUGGACAACACAGUGAAACCCUGUCUCUACAAAAAAUACAAAAAUUAGCCAGGUGUGGUGGUAUGCAUCUGUAGUUCCAGCUACUCAGGAGGCUGAGGUGGGAGGAUCGCUUGAAUCUGGGAGGCGGAGGUUGCAGUGAACAGAGAUUGCACCGGUGCCUGGACAACAAAGUGAGACCCUGUCAUAAAAUAAAAUAAAAUAAAAUAAAAUAAAAUAAAAUAAAAUAAAAUAAAAUAAAAUAAAAUAAAAUAGUUAAACCCAGGCCGGGAGGGGUAGCUCACACAUGUAAUCACAGCACUUUGGGAGGCUGAGGUGGGCGGAUCACCUGAGGUCAGGAGUUUGAGACCAGCCUGGCCAACAUGGUGAAACCCCAUCUCUACUAAAAAUACAAAAAUUAGCUGGGCGUGGUUGCAAGCACCUGUAGUCCCAGCUACUCAGGAGGCUGAGACAGGAGAAUUACUUGAACCUGGGAGACAGAGGUUGCCGUGAGCCAAGAUCUCACCAGUGCAGUACAGCGUGGGUGACAGAGCAAGUAAGUAAAGAGGAGGUUUGGAAUUAGAUAUUUGGUGUAUGAAUGAAUGGGCUAAAGUGCAAAAGAACAGGCAGAAUAACUGAGCUGGUACAGAGGAAAAAAAUCACACUUAAAAUCUAAAAGUAUCUGCUUCUCAAUUUGGGCUUUCCCACUUAGCAGCUUUGACACCUUAGAAAGAACACUUAACUUACCUGAGCUUCUAUUACUUCUAAAAAGUGCAUAAAGUGCAGGCUAAGACAUAGUUUUUUUGGCAAAAUUCAGUCAGACUACAUCAAGUAAACUCCCUAAGUCUCCUAGUAUAAUUCAUGGCACAAAAACUGGGGAAAAAACAGGGAGGAUAUGUUUAUAAGUUCAGUUUGGGUUUUUUGUUGAGUGAAUGUCUCCAGUCAUAGAGAUGCAAGUGUAGAUACACCGUAAGAGUAGUAUGAACAGGAGACACCUUGGAAGGCUAUUUCUUCCUUCAUUCAUUCAGUUGGUCACUCAAUGAACUAUCAUGAAUUGAGCACUACCUCUGUUUCUUAUCAACAAAGGAGACUACGGAAAAGAAGAGUGACUAAGAUCUCUGAAGAAGGGAAAAGCUAGAUGACUGGGCCACAAGAGGAAAAAAAGCAGCAAGACAGCUUGAAUGUGAGGCAACUGUGAAAAGUGCAGGGCAGAGCCACCUGGGUAAAUACAGCCCUGGCUUUCUGGUGAGAGGACUGAAACCAGGAUGUGUCAAGUAACUAGAAUGUGCCUGGACAGAUACUGUAGAAAGCAAACCCAUAAAGUUGUUCAUGAGCUUGUGGACGCACCUGCCAGCUGUGAAUAAGUGGGUCUAAUCCCAAACAACUUACCUAAAAAGAGCCUGAGGACUGAACUAAACAAUGGUCCACUUUCCAGUCCUCACUGACCACUGGUUGCACACACUCCAGAGAUCUCUCAUCCGCAGUGUCAAGGCUUUCAAAUAGAGUUAUCUGUGAAACAACAACACAUGGAAGUCUGGUUGGUACUUGGAGCUUAAAUACAAGGCAAUUGUGUGCCUGCAAAAACAAAAAGAGCAAUAUUAUCCUUAAGAUUUCAACAAGACACAGUGUCUCAUCACAUAAUCCAAAGAAGUCCAGGUUACAAGCCCCAAAAUAUUCAGCAUUAUGAAAAACCAGGGAGAUCUUAAUUCACAUGGCAAAGAGAAUCCUUGCAUAACAAUAUUGAGAGGACACAUAUGUCAAAAUCAUCUGACACAUACAUUAAAGCAGUUAUUAUAACAAUGCUCCUAGAAUUACGGGAUAGCAUUCAUGAAGUGAAUGGAAAGUUGGAAAGUCUCACCAAAUAUUUGGAAUAUGUAAACACCAAUUUAAACUUAAGAAUUAAAAAAAGUAUUAACCAAAACUAUUAGGGGAAAUAAAAAGCUUAAUUGGAUGAUCUCAAUAGCAGUAUGCAGAAGACUAAGGAAAAAGUCAAUGAACUUGAAAACGGAACAAGAAUACCUACAGAAUCUGACCUAUAGAAAGAAAGGAGGAUUUUAUUGUCCCUGAACAGAGGCUCAGGGACAAAUAAAAAAUAACAAAUCUAACAUUCACAUUAUUGUAAUCUGGAAACAUUCACAUUAUUGUAAGAGGACAAAGAGGUCUUUGUGGGAUAAAACUGUGAAGAAUUAAUGGCUGAAAAUGUAUCAAAUUUCUCAAAAGAUAUAAACCAGAUUUUUAAAGUUCAGUAAAUGUCAAGCAGGAUAAACCAAAAGAAACCCAUUGCAAGACAUAUCAUAAUCAAACUGCGGAAAAUUAAGAAAACACAAAACAAUUUUGAAAGCAGCCAAAGGGAAAUGAAAGAUAAAAUACCAAAUGAAUGAUUGUAGAUUUCUCAUCGGGAACCCAGGAGCCAGAAAAAAAUGUCAUAACAUUCAGUAAAUACCAAAGGAAAAAUACAUUAUCAACCCAGAAUGGUAUGUGGAGCAAAAGUAUCUUCCAGACAUAAAGGCAAAUAAAUGCAUUCUCAUUGGAAGGUAAAUAAAUACAUUCUCAGUCCUAGCAAAACUGCUGGAAAAGAAUUAGCAAAGGUUUGAGAUAAGAAAAGUGAUACCAGAAGGAAACUUAGAACAUCAUCAAUGAAGGAACAAAAGCAGAAAUAGAAAAUGUCUGGGUAGACAUAACAGACUAUUAUUCUUCUCUUGAGUUCCUUAAGACAAUGAGUAGCCACUGCUGUUUGCCCUGGCCCAUCAAUGAGAAGAUCUGCUCUUAGAGCCCUGCUUUCCUGCUGAAGGCCCUGAAAUCACCUGUGUUCCAGGCCACCUGCUAACAAUAAAUAAUGCUGCCCUGAUGUGGGGAAUUAGCUCAAGUGGUAGAGCGCUUGCUUAGCACGCAAGAGGUAGUGGGAUCGAUGCCCACAUUCUCCAAGCUUUAUUAUUUAGACAUCGUGUCUCCAAACACUCAGGUCUCCAAACCCAAGUUAGUGUCUGAGAACAGGAUGCUGCUUUGGUUCAAGACGUAGGAGCAGCAAUAAUAGAGGGCUGGUGAUGGCUCCCUCUUGGCAUUCAGUAUAGUGUAGAUCUACCAUGUAAUUAAUUCUCUGUUUCUUUGAGGAGCUGUGAAACCAAGGGACAUAUACAACUGCUCUUUUCUCCCUGUUUCUACCUGCAGCUUUGUCCUAAAUGUGAGACAAUUAUGAAAAGUGCAGCGCAGAGCCACUUGGGUAAAUACAGCCCCGGCUUUCUGCUCAGGGGACAGAGUUUGAGGCACUGCAGAGGAACCGGCCAAAGUAUGAGACCCAUAUAUUGAGAGUAACAGAGUGUAAAGUUCAAAAAAAUCAAAAUAUUUAAAGAUUUAUCAUGGGUCUUGAUGACAUGAUGGAAUCUCUCUACUCUCUGGACUUAUUAUGUGUGGUAAUAAAUUUACUUUUUAAAAGCCAGUUGAGUGUUUUUAAUGUUGUGGAGCUAUUGCUAAGAGUUUCCUGAGUUUUUUCCAGUAAUGUAGAGAUCUUUGUGCUAAAUAUUUCAUAAAGAAGUUUGG